rnacentral:rRNA from 1 species
GACAGAGGGUGCAAACGUUGUUCGGAAUUACUGGGCGUAAAGCGCGUGUAGGCGGCUCUGCAAGUCGGGUGUGAAAUCCCAUGGCUCAACCAUGGAAGUGCACUCGAAACUGCAGGGCUAGAGUCCUGGAGAGGAAGGUGGAAUGCUUGGUGUAGAGGUGAAAUUCGUAGAUAUCAAGCGGAACACCGGUGGCGAAGGCGGCUUACUGGUCCGGUUCUGACGCUGAGGCGCGAAAGCGUGGGGAGCAAACGG